rnacentral:rRNA from 1 species
AUUGAACGCUGGCGGCAGGCCUAACACAUGCAAGUCGAGCGGAUGAAGGGAGCUUGCUCCUGGAUUCAGCGGCGGACGGGUGAGUAAUGCCUAGGAAUCUGCCUGGUAGUGGGGGAUAACGUCCGGAAACGGGCGCUAAUACCGCAUACGUCCUGAGGGAGAAAGGGGGGGAUCUUCGGACCUCACGCUAUCAGAUGAGCAUAGGUCGGAUUAGCUAGUUGGUGGGGUAAAGGCCUACCAAGGCGACGAUCCGUAACUGGUCUGAGAGGAUGAUCAGUCACACUGGAACUGGGACACGGUCCAGACUCCUACGGGAGGCAGCAGUGGGGAAUAUUGGACAAUGGGCGAAAGCCUGAUCCAGCCAUGCCGCGUGUGUGAAGAAGGUCUUCGGAUUGUAAAGCACUUUAAGUUGGGAGGAAGGGCAGUAAGUUAAUAACUUGCUGUUUUGACGUUACCAACAGAAUAAGCACCGGCUAACUUCGUG